GGGGAUUAGCUCAAAUGGUAGAGUGCUUGCUUUGCAUGUGAGAGGUAGCAGGAUCAACGCCCACGUCCUCA